GAUGAACGCUGACAGAAUGCUUAACACAUGCAAGUCGAUGGGGAAGUGGUGCUUGCACCAUGGUAACCAUGGCGGACGGGUGAGUAACGCGUAAGGAACUUGCCUGCGGGACUGGGAUAACAGCAGGAAACUGCUGAUAAUACCGGAUAAGGUCAUUAAGCUGCAUAGCUUAGUGAUGAAAGGAGACGCCUGCGGAGAGCCUUGCGUCCUAUUAGCUAGUUGGAGGGGUAACGGCCCACCAAGGCGAAGAUAGGUAGCCGGCCUGAGAGGGUGGACGGCCACAAGGGGACUGAGAUACGGCCCUUACUCCUACGGGAGGCAGCAGUGGGGAAUAUUGGACAAUGGGGGCAACCCUGAUCCAGCAAUUCUGUGUGCACGAAGACGGUUUUCGGAUUGUAAAGUGCUUUCAGCAGGGAAGAAGGAAGUGACGGUACCUGUAGAAGAAGCGACGGCUAAAUACGUG
rnacentral:rRNA from 1 species